rnacentral:tRNA from 1 species
GGAUUUAUAUUCAUAGAUGAUUUUAGAUUGCAAAUCUAGGGGUGUGAUUAUUCACUAAGUCCU